rnacentral:rRNA from 1 species
UACGAAGGGAACUAGCAUUGUUCGGAAUUACUGAGCGUAAAGCGCACGUAGGCGGAUCGGAAAGUCAGAGGUGAAAUCCCAGGGCUCAACCUUGGAACUGCCUUUGAAACUCCCGGUCUUGAGUUCGAGAGAGGUGAGUGGAAUUCCGAGUGUAGAGGUGAAAUUCGUAGAUAUUCGGAGGAACACCAGUGGCGAAGGCGGCUCACUGGCUCGAUACUGACGCUGAGGUGCGAAAGCGUGGGGAGCAAACAGG